rnacentral:lncRNA from 1 species
UACUUCAGAUACUGCAAAAGAAGACUUCUGAUUGAAAAAAGUUCAUUGCAGAACUUGGGGUUAUGACAUCAGAUGCCAUACCACUUUAUUGCGACAAAAAUGGAGCCAUAGCACUUGUUAAGGAGCCAAGGUCUUAUCAGAAAUCAAAGCACAUCGAAUGACAGUAUCAUAUCAUAUGCGACUAUCUCAAAAAAAAUACAUCGAGGUACGAAAAGUAGACUC